rnacentral:rRNA from 1 species
AGCCAGCUUGACUGCGAGCGUGACGGUGCGAGCAGGUGCGAAAGCAGGUCAUAGUGAUCCGGUGGUUCUGAAUGGAAGGGCCAUCGCUCAACGGAUAAAAGGUACUCCGGGGAUAACAGGCUGAUACCGCCCAAGAGUUCAUAUCGACGGCGGUGUUUGGCACCUCGAUGUCGGCUCAUCACAUCCUGGGGCUGAAGUAGGUCCCAAGGGUAUGGCUGUUCGCCAUUUAAAGUGGUACGCGAGCUGGGUUUAGAACGUCGUGAGACAGUUCGGUCCCUAUCUGCCGUGGGCGCUGGAGAACUGAGGGGGGCUGCUCCUAGUACGAGAGGACCGGAGUGGACGCAUCACUGGUGUUCGGGUUGUCAUGCCAAUGGCACUGCCCGGUAGCUAAAUGCGGAAGAGAUAAGUGCUGAAAGCAUCUAAGCACGAAACUUGCCCCGAGAUGAGUUCUCCCUGACCCUUUAAGGGUCCUGAAGGAACGUUGAAGACGACGACGUUGAUAGGCCGGGUGUGUAAGCGCAGCGAUGCGUUGAGCUAACCGGUACUAAUGAACCGUGAGG